GACGAACGCUGGCGGCGUGCUUAACACAUGCAAGUCGAACGGAAAGGCCCUGCUUUUGUGGGGUGCUCGAGUGGCGAACGGGUGAGUAACACGUGAGUAACCUGCCCUUGACUUUGGGAUAACUUCAGGAAACUGGGGCUAAUACCGGAUAGGAGCUCCUGCUGCAUGGUGGGGGUUGGAAAGUUUCGGCGGUUGGGGAUGGACUCGCGGCUUAUCAGCUUGUUGGUGGGGUAGUGGCUUACCAAGGCUUUGACGGGUAGCCGGCCUGAGAGGGUGACCGGCCACAUUGGGACUGAGAUACGGCCCAGACUCCUACGGGAGGCAGCAGUGGGGAAUAUUGCACAAUGGGCGGAAGCCUGAUGCAGCAACGCCGCGUGCGGGAUGACGGCCUUCGGGUUGUAAACCGCUUUCGCCUGUGACGAAGCGUGAGUGACGGUAAUGGGUAAAGAAGCACCGGCUAACUACGUGCCAGCAGCCGCGGUGAUACGUAGGGUGCGAGCGUUGUCCGGAUUUAUUGGGCGUAAAGGGCUCGUAGGUGGUUGAUCGCGUCGGAAGUGUAAUCUUGGGGCUUAACCCUGAGCGUGCUUUCGAUACGGGUUGACUUGAGGAAGGUAGGGGAGAAUGGAAUUCCUGGUGGAGCGGUGGAAUGCGCAGAUAUCAGGAAGAACACCAGUGGCGAAGGCGGUUCUCUGGGCCUUUCCUGACGCUGAGGAGCGAAAGCGUGGGGAGCGAACAGGCUUAGAUACCCUGGUAGUCCACGCUGUAAACGGUGGGUACUAGGUGUGGGGUCCAUUCCACGGGUUCCGUGCCGUAGCUAACGCUUUAAGUACCCCGCCUGGGGAGUACGGCCGCAAGGCUAAAACUCAAAGGAAUUGACGGGGCCCCGCACAAGCGGCGGAGCAUGCGGAUUAAUUCGAUGCAACGCGUAGAACCUUACCUGGGUUUGACAUGGAUCGGGAGUGCUCAGAGAUGGGUGUGCCUCUUUUGGGGUCGGUUCACAGGUGGUGCAUGGCUGUCGUCAGCUCGUGUCGUGAGAUGUUGGGUUAAGUCCCGCAACGAGCGCAACCCUUGUUCACUGUUGCCAGCACGUUAUGGUGGGGACUCAGUGGAGACCGCCGGGGUCAACUCGGAGGAAGGUGGGGAUGACGUCAAGUCAUCAUGCCCCUUAUGUCCAGGGCUUCACGCAUGCUACAAUGGCUGGUACAGAGAGUGGCGAGCCUGUGAGGGUGAGCGAAUCUCGGAAAGCCGGUCUCAGUUCGGAUUGGGGUCUGCAACUCGACCUCAUGAAGUCGGAGUCGCUAGUAAUCGCAGAUCAGCAACGCUGCGGUGAAUACGUUCCCGGG
rnacentral:rRNA from 1 species